GUGGGGAAUAUUGGACAAUGGGCGCAAGCCUGAUCCAGCAAUGCCGCGUGUGUGAAGAAGGUCUUCGGAUCGUAAAGCACUUUCGACGGGGACGAUGAUGACGGUACCCGUAGAAGAAGCCCCGGCUAACUUCGUGCCAGCAGCCGCGGUAAUACGAAGGGGGCUAGCGUUGCUCGGAAUUACUGGGCGUAAAGGGCGCGUAGGCGGCUCUGUGAGUCAGGCGUGAAAUUCCUGGGCUUAACCUGGGGACUGAGCUUGAUACUGCAGGGCUUGAGGCCGAGAGAGGGUGGUGGAAUUCCCAGUGUAGAGGUGAAAUUCGUAGAUAUUGGGAAGAACACCGGUGGCGAAGGCGACCACCUGGCUCGGUACUGACGCUGAGGCGCGACAGCGUGGGGAGCAAACAGGAUUAGAAACCCUGGUAGUCC
rnacentral:rRNA from 1 species